GACGAACGCUGGCGGCGUGCUUAACACAUGCAAGUCGAACGGAAAGGCCUGCUUUCCCUUGUGGAUUGCGGGUACUCGAGUGGCGAACGGGUGAGUAACACGUGAGUGAUCUGCCCCCAACUUGGGUAUAAGCCUGGGAAACUGGGUCUAAUUCCCGAUAGGACUGCAGGGUGGUGCCUGUGGUGGAAAACGAUUUUCUAGUGGUUGGGGAUGAGCUCGCGGCCUAUCAGCUUGUUGGUGGGGUAAUGGCCUACCAAGGCGGCGACGGGUAGCCGGCCUGAGAGAGUGGGCGGCAACAGUGGGACUGAGAUACGGCCAAGACGCCUACGGGAGGCAGCAGUGGGGAAUAUUGCACAAUGGGCGGAAGCCUGAUGCAGCGACGCCGCGGGGGGGAUGACGGCCUUCGGGUUGUAAACUCCUUUCGACCGCGAGGAAGCCACCUGGUUGGAAGGGUGGUGACGGUAGUGGUAGAAGAAGCACCGGCUAACUACGUG
rnacentral:rRNA from 1 species